UUAUUACUCUCCAACCUGAGCUCAGAUUACAGAUGUGCAGCAUCCACACCAUACUUUUGACAUGGGUUCUAUGAAUCUGAAUUUAGGCACUCUCUUGAGUGGUACCUCCACAGCACACUCCCAUUUCAUAUUUUCAGUUUUGUCAUUUAUUCUUUCAACUAAUUAUUAUUGCAGAUCUGCUAUGUGCCACAGUCCUAGAUUCAGCAUUUUUGAUUUUUGUAAGCUUGUUUGGAAAGGGAAACUUGUUCAUUGGAGGCUCAUGUUCCUUUGGAACUGCACACUGAGGAGCUUUGGAGGUGCGCCAACUUGGAGACUGCAGGAAUGGACCCAGAACAACAUGUAACAAUGUAUAGACAAACUUGCUGGCUUCUCACGAAGUGUAAUACGUAAUGGUUAGGAGCCAUUUGCCUCACACACCUUAAGAAUAUGCAGAACUCCUUCUUCUAAGAGCUCUUCAGCAACUCUCACUGGCCCUCCCUGGUUUGGAAGAUGCUGCUCAGCAGAUGGGCCCAGAUUGCUGUCAGGGAUGGUGAGUCACACAGCACACUUUAGUCAUUCAGGUGCAUUUGUGUUGGACUCAGUGGCUGGGAAUCAGCCCUGGGCUCAGCACUUGUGUAUUUCCACAGACGAUGAAUGUUCCAGGGCUUGUUGUGAAAUAGAAAUUUAUAAAUUGUUAUGUUCUACUGUUGACAGCCUUCUCUAUGUGCUUGAUGUUCAGCAGCCUCUGGGUCUCUUGUUCCCCUUGAAGGAGAGGGAACUUGUUUGGCUGAAACACAACCAGAGGCUUUUGAAAAGAAACAGAUGUCUUCAUGUCCCUGUGUCACAUGAGCUUGAAAGAAUUCUGAAACAAAGAGUCAAGAAUAUUUGCAUCCUGAAACUCAUGACCUCAGAGAUGUCAGCUUUGUAAAUAAAUCCUAAUAUCAAAUUGUGCUUUGUCCUUCAUAUUGGCUAGCAUUUUAUUUUUAGAAUGUAUUUUGACUAUUGGAGGCCUUAUGCAUUCCAAAAAAAUUUCUGAAACAUUUUUUUCAUCUUUACAGAAAUCCCUGGCAUUGUUUGGUUAUAAUGGUACAGGAUAUAUAAAUCAAGUCUGAAAGCAUCAACAUCCUAGCUUUUGACCUAAAACAUUAAGAGUCACCCUCUGCAUGUCUUCAAAAUUCUGAAUUCACUAUUAUUCUACACUGAUUGCUCUCACCAUCUUGUUCUCCUGAGAUGCCAAGCACAUCUUUCUUCUAGAGCUGAGCAACAGAGAUAAGUCAUUUUUCUUCACAAUUUUAGUGUGUGCUUUCAUGUUGCACACAUGUUGUAAUUUUAAAAAUAAAAUUACAGAUCUGUCUGUUUGUGCUUUUUGC
rnacentral:lncRNA from 1 species